rnacentral:ncRNA from 1 species
CUGCCGCUACUCCAUUUUUAUAGCGGCAGGCCAGCCAACAAAAAGGAGGAGACCAAUCCGCCAGGCCGGCGGUGCGGCAGUGUGGAGACCUGCCGUAAUUCCCCGGGGGCGCCACUCCCCCGGCGGAGAGGCUCCGGGCGCGGAGGCGCGGGAGCCACGGCCGUAAGCUAUGUC